rnacentral:lncRNA from 1 species
CUUGGCUUCAGAAGCUAAGCGGACCCACUUCUGUGUUUCCAACCAUUUGAUCUUCUUACCACUUAGCCCAUCACUGGGGAUUCCCAACUACUAAAUUAGGAAAGUUUGAAAAGCUCUUCAUUUCAACAUCAGUUCCCAUCAACUGUGGUAGGCGGAGAUCGUUGUUUUUACGGAAAGCUGCCUUCCUGCCCAGCCACUCCUCUUGACUUCCCCUGCCCUACCUGGACUCCUUCACAACCUGAGUCCCAGCUUCAAGUUGGCCUCCAUCAGGAAGGGCUCAGUGAAGAAGCCUGAAUUUGGUCAUGUCCCUUCUCAGCACCCUCAACACCUGGGUCUUUCUAAAGCUUAGUUCUGCCCACUAGAUUGGGACCCCCCUGAAGGUAGGUACUGUGCUUUAUCUAUGUUAUUCUUCUGUUCCUCAGCAGCCCCUGUAUGCCUGGUACAGAGGAG